CAAUGGCCAGCAGCACGGGCAUAGGCGCAAGGGUAGACGGAGGCCUGGGUUUUGAGUCUCACAUUGCGUACAGAAGGCUUGGGUUUUUGCUGCUCACGUGGGGAAGGAGUUGGAGUCUGAUCCGGACUCUCCUGGCAGCAUGCUGAAACGGUGCAAGGGGUGGAUAAGGAUGCUGCUGCUUAUCGGUGGGGGAGUUUGAGCUGAUGAGGGGAUUGGGUAAGGAUGAGAUAAGGGAGGAAAUUUAGGAGCUGCUGAUCAAGGACUUGGGUGUUGGCCGAAUGUUGGACUCUUGAGGGGCAAGAGUUGGCCGGUCAAGGGUUUUUUAUCAUAGCCGAAUCUCUACUCUUUUCUUUCUUAAAAAACUGAAAACCUUCAUACCUGUAGUAUAGGAAGCUGAACCUUUGGCUACUUGAAUCUACUUCUUCUCGUAACAACGGUGGAUUGGAGUUAAGAUCAUAGAUAGGAGCACUUUUAUGGGCCAAACAAUGAUUGGUAAGUUUGUCGAAUAACUUCCGUUAAUUAUUUAUGAUUUAAGAUAAAAGUCGAAACCCCUUAAGGGUGGCUAACGUUUGGACUAAGGGUGUUGGCGCCUCUUUCUUUUUCAUUGUGUAAGCGUUAGCGUGGACAAGGCGGCGUGCUGUGGAGGGUUUGAAGACUGAUUCGGAUUGGAUCUCUAGAUCUAGUCCAUGUUUCGGCGGAAAGGUAAGAACUUUAGGGUCUAAGGCAAUGUUGGCCGAAUAUGGUAAGGGGACUAGUACGUAGUUGUUUUUGAUAUGUAGACUGACGUUUAGUAACUCGAUUGUAGGCAACACAUGUGUGGAUAUCGCCAGCGUAUCGUUACUGAUCAGGUGUGUAAACGACACCUGUAACAGCCCAAUUUGGACCCUAAUUGGAACGGUGGUUUCGAGACCACGAAUCCGAGUUAGAAUAAUAUUUAAAUAUUAUUUUCUAUGUUUAAAAUGUGUGAAGUUGCUUUUGUGAAAGUUUGGUUUAAAAAUUUUAGUGUUUGGAGGUCGAUUGAUGAAAAAGGGUUUAAUCGCUUAAAAUGAAAAUUUUAAGGGUUAAUGUAUAAAGGCCAAAUUAUGAUUGUUUUUAUAUUAUGUAACAUUAAGGUUGCAAUUUGGCCAUAAAUAGGAAUUAGUGGCCAACCAAUAUGCAUGGAUUAAUGACUUGAAUUGUUUAUUAUAUUUUAUGGCAUUAUGGUAUACUUUAAUAUAUGUUAAUAUAUUAUAUUUAAUAAAAGAUGAAAGUGUACAUCUUUCUUUUAUUUUUUUUGGCCGAAACUAAGAGAAAGAAAAGAAAGCUUCAGCUUUGAUAUUUUCGGUCCUUGCAUGUUCAAUUAGGUAAGUGAUUUGAGUUUGGUUUUUGUUAAUUUUUACACUUUUGAGAUAGUUGCUUUGAAUACUAUAAAGCCCAUGUUUGAAAUUUUGAAAUUGAUGAUAUAUUCAUAGAGUGUCAUUGUUAAUAGUUUGAUGAAAUUUAUGUUUGAUGUGAGAAAAUAAAAUAAAUGUGUUAGAUUAACAUUUUGGUAUUGGGAUUUUUGGUAAUUUUGAGCAUUUAGGGUUAAAUUGAAAAAAAUACUAAAUUGAAGGACUAGAUUAUGAAAUUAGUGAAAUGGGAGGAUUUAUAUAAGCUUAGUGAACAUUCGGCCCUAGCAUUGUAUAUGCAAAUUCUUCAUAUUUUGUAUUUUGAGAAAAUUGGAUUAAAUUGUAAAAGUGCAUAAUGUUAGGGGUAAAUUGGUAAAUUGCUCAAUCAUGUGUAUUUGGACCUAAAUGAAUGAAAUUCUAUUUGAAUGAGAUUAAUUUGGAAAUUUUUAGAUCAAGAAUCAAAAAGAUCGGACGUGGAUCGGGGAAAAUAAAAAAAUCGUUGAGUAGUUGAAUUCAACUGUUCGUCGAUAUCCGAGGUAAGUUAUUAAGUAAAUAUUUAUUGUUGGUUUAAAUAAAUAUAAUUUAUAUAUUUGUGUGAGCCGAGUUGGAAUAUAUAAAAUCUUGGUGUUGCCGAACGCAAAUAGGAAUAAUAAAUAUGAAAAUUUCACUAAGCAUGCGAGUUUGGUUAAUGAGCACUAAGUGUGCGAGUUUUGAUUAUCGAGCACUAAGUGUGUGAAGGAAAAUAUUAAGCACUAAGUGUGCGAUUUCAUGGCUUUUCUAGUUAAACAAUAGCACUAAGUGUGCGAAUACAACGGGUGAAGGAAAGGAUCAGACGAUCUAAUUAUCAAAUGCAAGAGUAAUAGUGUAAUAUUUAUGUUCGUAAUAAUGCAGGUACGUAAUCAAACCUUUGUGGUUGAUAUUAUUGAACUUGAAAUUAUAUGGUUGGUAGUAAUAAAUAUAAUAUGUAUGAUAGAUUUGGAAAAAUGAGAGAUGGAUGAGUUGAAAAGAAUAAAAUAAAUAAUAAUAAUAAAAUGAUAUGAUAUAUAUAUAUAUAUUAUAUGAUGUUUGAUUAUUUAUUUUAUAUGUGAGUGAACAUUCGACUAGGUAUUAAAUGGUAAGAUGGGAAGUGUUAAGUAAUUUUUUUUUUAGAGUUUAUGUAUAUUCGAAUAUGUUAGGGAUUAAACUUGAUUGAUUGAUAGAUAUAUUGGUAGUCAAGUUUGGUUGAAUAUGUGAUUUUAGUAGCAGGACUUGGUUACUCAAAUUGAGCUAUUAAUGUCUUUUAAAUUGUUCAAAUUGCUUAUAACUUACUAAGCUAAAAUAACUUACUUUGAGAAUGUAUUUACUUGUCUUAAUUUUAUAGCUUUUGGAGAUUGUUACAUGCUCGGGAUCAUCAGUGAAGCUCAUCACACUAUCGUCUAUAUUUUGGUACUCUUGAAAGCUUAAGUUUAAACUUAUGGCAUGUAUAAGCUAUUCUAUCUUUUGAAUCCAAUAUGAAUGAGAAAUGUAUUUAAGCCAUGCGAAAAUGGCUUAGUUAUUAUAUGUUAUGCUUGG
rnacentral:lncRNA from 1 species